rnacentral:rRNA from 1 species
AGAGUUUGAUCAUGGCUCAGAUUGAACGCUGGCGGCAGGCCUAACACAUGCAAGUCGAGCGGAAACGAGUUAUCUGAACCUUCGGGGAACGAUAACGGCGUCGAGCGGCGGACGGGUGAGUAAUGCCUAGGAAAUUGCCCUGAUGUGGGGGAUAACCAUUGGAAACGAUGGCUAAUACCGCAUGAUGCCUACGGGCCAAAGAGGGGGACCUUCGGGCCUCUCGCGUCAGGAUAUGCCUAGGUGGGAUUAGCUAGUUGGUGAGGUAAGGGCUCACCAAGCGACGAUCCCUAGCUGGUCUGAGAGGAUGAUCAGCACACUGGAACUGAGACACGGUCCAGACUCCUACGGGAGGCAGCAGUGGGGAAUAUUGCACAAUGGGCGCAAGCCUGAUGCAGCCAUGCCGCGUGUAUGAAGAAGGCCUUCGGGUUGUAAAGUACUUUCAGUCGUGAGGAAGGCGGCGUCGUUAAUAGCGGCGUUGUUUGACGUUAGCGACAGAAGAAGCACCGGCUAACUCCGUGCCAGCAGCCGCGGUAAUACGGAGGGUGCGAGCGUUAAUCGGAAUUACUGGGCGUAAAGCGCAUGCAGGUGGUUUGUUAAGUCAGAUGUGAAAGCCCGGGGCUCAACCUCGGAAUAGCAUUUGAAACUGGCAGACUAGAGUACUGUAGAGGGGGGUAGAAUUUCAGGUGUAGCGGUGAAAUGCGUAGAGAUCUGAAGGAAUACCGGUGGCGAAGGCGGCCCCCUGGACAGAUACUGACACUCAGAUGCGAAAGCGUGGGGAGCAAACAGGAUUAGAUACCCUGGUAGUCCACGCCGUAAACGAUGUCUACUUGGAGGUUGUGGCCUUGAGCCGUGGCUUUCGGAGCUAACGCGUUAAGUAGACCGCCUGGGGAGUACGGUCGCAAGAUUAAAACUCAAAUGAAUUGACGGGGGCCCGCACAAGCGGUGGAGCAUGUGGUUUAAUUCGAUGCAACGCGAAGAACCUUACCUACUCUUGACAUCCAGAGAACUUUCCAGAGAUGGAUUGGUGCCUUCGGGAACUCUGAGACAGGUGCUGCAUGGCUGUCGUCAGCUCGUGU